GAUGAAGAACGUAGCGAAAUGCGAUAAGUAAUGUGAAUUGCAGAAUUCAGUGAAUCAUCGAAUCUUUGAACGCACAUUGCGCCCUCUGGUAUUCCGGGAGGCAUGCCUGUUCGAGCGUCAUUAUAACCACUCAAGCUCUCGCUUGGUAUUGGGGUUCGCGGUUUCGCGGCCCCUAAAAUCAGUGGCGGUGCCUGUCGGCUCUACGCGUAGUAAUACUUCUCGCGAUUGAGUUCGAUAGGUCUACUUGCCAGUAACCCCCAAUUUUUACAGGUUGACCUCGGAUCAGGUAGGGAUACCCGCUGAACUUAAGCAUAUCAAUAAGCGGAGGA
rnacentral:misc_RNA from 1 species